rnacentral:rRNA from 1 species
GACGAACGCUGGCGGCGUGUCUAAUACAUGCAAGUCGAACGGAGCGGCGGACGGGUGAGUAAUGCCUAGGAAUCUGCCUGGUAGUGGGGGAUAACGUCCGGAAACGGGCGCUAAUACCGCAUACUAUCAGAUGAGCCUAGGUCGGAUUAGCUCGUUGGUGGGGUAAAGGCCUACCAAGGCGACGAUCCGUAACUGGUCUGAGAGGAUGAUCAGUCACACGGGAACUGAGACACGGUCCAGACUCCUACGGGAGGCAGCAGUGGGGAAUAUUGGACAAUGGGCUAAAGCCUGAUCCAGCCAUGCCGCGUGUGUGAAGAAGGUCUUCGGAUUGUAAAGCACUUUAAGUUGGGAGGCGUGACCAACAGAAUAGGCACCGGCUAACGUCGUGCCAGCCGCCGCGGUAAUAC